rnacentral:rRNA from 1 species
GAUGAACGCUGGCGGCGUGCCUAAUACAUGCAAGUCGAGCGAACAGACGAGGAGCUUGCUCCUCUGACGUUAGCGGCGGACGGGUGAGUAACACGUGGAUAACCUACCUAUAAGACUGGGAUAACUUCGGGAAACCGGAGCUAAUACCGGAUAACAUGUUGAACCGCAUGGUUCAACAGUGAAAGACGGUCUUGCUGUCACUUAUAGAUGGAUCCGCGCCGCAUUAGCUAGUUGGUAAGGUAACGGCUUACCAAGGCAACGAUGCGUAGCCGACCUGAGAGGGUGAUCGGCCACACUGGAACUGAGACACGGUCCAGACUCCUACGGGAGGCAGCAGUAGGGAAUCUUCCGCAAUGGGCGAAAUCCUGACGGAGCGACGCCGCGUGAGUGAAGAAGGUCUUCGGAUCGUAAAACUCUGUUAUUAGGGAAGAACAAAUGUGUAAGUAACUAUGCACGUCUUGACGGUACCUAAUCAGAAAGCCACGGCUAACUACGUG